rnacentral:rRNA from 1 species
AGAUUGAACGCUGGCGGCAUGCCUUACACAUGCAAGUCGAACGGCAGCACGGGAGCAAUCCUGGUGGCGAGUGGCGAACGGGUGAGUAAUAUAUCGGAACGUGCCCAGUCGUGGGGGAUAACGCAGCGAAAGCUGUGCUAAUACCGCAUACGAUCUAUGGAUGAAAGCGGGGGAUCGCAAGACCUCGCGCGAUUGGAGCGGCCGAUAGUCAGAUUAGCUAGUUGGUAGGGGUAAAAGCCUACCAAGGCGACGAUCUGUAGCUAGGUCUGAGAGGACGACCAGCCACACGUGGAACUGAGACACGGUCCAGACUCCGUACGGGAGGCAGCGAGGUAGGGGUAAUUUGGACUAAGUCGGGACG